GAGCAAAGACUUGAUUCCUCUGGGUUCUGGGAAUGGCGGGCUCUGCCAGUCCCCACCUCACCAGCCUAAUAGUUUUUCCAGACCGACUCAGGCUUGGUGUCCUGGGACAGCCUCGCAGCCAACUCCUGGUCCCAUUCAUUCCUCUCGGUCCUCUAAGAUACGUUCAUUAAUGCUUUUUCCAGCCGGAGACAAAUUUUGGGGGGGGGGGAGUGCAGAAGAGUUUACUCGGGCUGGGGAUAACCUGGAGCUUACUGCCCUGGAAGACCUGGACGCAAACCGAAGCAGACCAACCAUUAAAAAGUGCAUCCAAUGGACAUUCUUCCACUCGGGCCCUCGACUGCGGAGUCGCGCAAACUCCUGGAGCGGCUCACGCAACUACGCGGGCUCCUGCGGUUUCGGACGGACCUCGGCCGUCGGGGGCGGGGACUCGGCUCCCAGCGCGGUUAGCGAAGGGACGCCCUCGGGGCGGUGCGCCUCGGUCCCUCAGCUACUGGAGAGCUCCCGGCUCCGGGAUCCGCGGCACCCCAGGCCACUUAUCCGCGCCAUCUAGGGUCAAACCCCUCGCGCAUACCCCGACCCAAGGGCCCAAACCCUUGCGCCCGGGCGCCCGGGCCAGUGCUGCCUAUGCAGUGCCACCUUUGGCCCCAAGAAACCUACGGUACAGCGAGACGAUCCCUCCAGGCUGUCCGGCAGGUCUCCAGAACACAGCUUGCAACAUCCCCGCACCGACCCAGACCUCUCCCAGCCCAGACUCUGUCGACCUUCAAAUGACAACAAGGCUUUCAGGAGGGAGCAGGGAGACUGCUUCCCACCAGGACCUGACCAGAAACCCGGCACCCUCAGCCUCAUUCUCCCUCUUUCAGGCAGAAAGACCGCCAAUCUACCACAGGAGGCCCCCUUCUCGGUGCUGGGCAAACACUGAGGUCAUUAAUGGCCACCCCAGGCCAGGCAGUGGCUCCCCCUUCUAGGGCUUGUGAAGGCACCUCUGUGGCAAAACAUUGGCCAGUCUUCUCUUUCCAACUCCUCUUCUGCCUGGCAACUACCUGCCUUCACUGCUCUGAUCACCCCAACGUCCCUAGCAUCCCUGCCUCUCUUCUUGGGAGAACUCCAUGUGGAACUAAAUUAAAAUGAGGACUUGUCCUCCUGUUUGAACUGU
rnacentral:lncRNA from 1 species